ensembl:misc_RNA Metazoa_SRP Metazoan signal recognition particle RNA
UGCCGACCGGGUAUCCGCACUAAGUUCAGCAUAGAUAUGGUGACCUCCUGGGAGUGGGGACCACCAGGGUGGCCUCUGAAUGGGUGAACUGGCCCAGGUCGGAAAUGGAGCCUGUCAGAACUCCCGUGUUGAUUGGUAGUGGGACUGCACCUGGGCA